rnacentral:lncRNA from 1 species
UCAAAAAUUAAGAACAAUAUAACCUUGCAUUUGUGAAGCACUUCCAGCUUUUUUUUUUUUAAUAUAUAAUGCUUUCAGGUGCAUGCCUUUACAACAGCGCUAAAACAUUUUUUUAGUGUGUAAAAUUCCAACUUUACAGCUGAACAAAGUGUGUAGCAACAGGAUUAUAAGUGAGGUAUCCAGUAACCCAGCGAGGAAGCAGCAGAAAUGAGACAGGCUGCUGUCCUUAGUCCUUUUGUAAUGAAGAAAUGCUCCAAGCUUUCAGACUUGUUGCAGGUUUUUACAAGCUUCACUUUUAAUAACCUUUCUCCAUUGCAUUUCUGACUUAUUGCCUCCCUGGCUCCCAGCACUCUUAUUUAUAUGCAGACUCAUUCCAACUGCACAUCCCAAUGUUUAUGCUGCGUUUACUGUGUUGUCUUCUAACUACAGUCCAUUAUCUGCUGAAACAAGAAGGAUGUUCACGAAUAAAACACAUCUUGCCUGUGGCUGCCAGAGGAGCAGAACCCAUCGUGGGAAGCAGAGAUGGAUCUCUGCUGCUGGGAGUAGCCUGCUGUUCCCAUGGGAGCCUCCUCUUUGGGGAAGACGUCACGCUGACAGUAGCAGAAGGUGCAGAAAGCAGAGAGCAUGUGAUGGAUUCCAGGUGCUAAAAAGAGUGGGAAUGAGCCACAGGAUAAUGUCUCAGCGACCUAACUACCUGACUUAGCGAUGGCAGCAUUUUGAAAGCCCAGCAAACAUACUAGGGUAAGUUGCCCAGAAAGAGUCAUUGUUUCUGGCCUGAUUUGUGUCCUACAAUCAAUGUUUUGAGCAUGAGCAUGCAGAGUGCAUGAUUCAAAAACUGGCCUUGUGAUUUGAAACUGGGCCCACAGACACUAGUAUUUGAUGCAGGAACAACAAACCAGCAGCAGCAGGAUAAACUGCUUCUUAGAGUUGGGAGGAAGAAAGGCAAAGCCUCCAGGCUCCCCCCUUCUAAAGGCGUGGUGUCCUCGUCCUCAGUCCUCAGACCACACUCUGAGUUCUACUCAUGCUGGGAAGUCCUCCUACCCCCUGCUUCCAGCUCCUUCACAACAAAGAAAAUGAAUCCUUGAGUUAUAGCUGGCUGAUUGGCAUCCUGUUGCUAGGAAACUGUGAAAUGAGUGUAUCAUAUUUCAUAAUAAAAAAUGUCUCUGACCCA